GCACAAGCGGUGGAUGGUGUGGUUUAAUUCGAUGCAACGCGAAAAACCUUACCCACCUUUGACAUGUACGGAAUCCUUUAGAGAUAGAGGAGUGCUCGAAAGAGAGCCGUAGCACAGGUGCUGCAUGGCUGUCGUCAGCUCGUGUCGUGAGAUGUUGGGUUAAGUCCCGCAACGAGCGCAACCCUUGUCAUUAGUUGCUACAUUCAGUUGGGCACUCUAAUGAGACUGCCGGUGACAAACCGGAGGAAGGUGGGGAUGACGUCAAGUCCUCAUGGCCCUUAUAGGUGGGGCUACACACGUCAUACAAUGGAUGGCAUAAAGGGUCGCCAACCCGCGAGGGGGAGCCAAUCCCAUAAAGCCAUUCGUAGUCCGGAUCGCAGUCUGCAACUCGACUGCGUGAAGUCGGAAUCGCUAGUAAUCGUGGAUCAGAAUGUCACGGUGAAUACGUUCCCGGGUCUU
rnacentral:rRNA from 1 species